rnacentral:lncRNA from 1 species
CCAUGGAAUCUAUCCCAUGGCAGUUUCACACAUUUCAAUGCAGGCGAAAGUAAGUUAGCAUGUGGACAUAACUGAGGUUAACCUAGAAUUUGGCUCCCAUCCCACAAGAAGCAAAGAAGGGCAGGCAGGCCCCUUUCGCAUUUCAAAAAUUUGCUACCAUGACUGGCUAGAUUUCCAAGUAUAAUGAUGAUCAUUGGCUCUCCAGGCUUCUCCUGACCCACUUCAUUAGUUGCAUACUGUGCUUAGUCUAAAAUUGACGUCAUUUGAUUGGACUGCUCUAUCAAUCAAUAACAGCAUUUUGUAAAAUACAGUACUGGCGAAAAAAACAACAACAACAACUACAGGUCAAAGAAUGAGAAGUGAUUUUCGGCAGUUACUCUGGGUCUGCAUGAGGCAGAGAGAGAGAGAGUUAUAGCUACAAUAUCAAUGUUAUGCGAGAGAAGAGAGACAUUUACAGAAAAAGAAAGUGAGCAACUGAAGUAUGGAAAGAUAGGAAAUAAGAAAACUAAACAUCUCUGAGGCAGUUUAGGGUGCAAUUUAAAAUCUGCAGAAGUGGUACAAGAUGGCAGAAGGAUAAGAUAACCACCUUCUAAUAAAGGAUUUGAUUUUUAAUGUGGUGAGUAGUGUGGCUCCAAAGAGUGGUGGUUUUUUUUUUAAUUGGGUUGCCCACUGGAGGAAGGAAAGAGAAGGAAGAAGCAGGCUAUGGAUGUUUAAAACCAACUGGAACUAUUAAGAUCAUGCGUGAGGCUGCUGUUCCAUGGGCAGAACCAGAGAGUUCCACUGUGGGAAACCUGCAGCACUUUGCUGGCUGCCCCCACUAGCAACUGUCAUCGUGGAAAUCGGCAGCAAGCUGCCACGGAAGAAGCCUGAGCAAAUUAAAAAAGAAACAAGAAAGAUCGGGAGUUGGUCUUUUUUUGUAGUAAUAUCAAAUGCUGAUGUUCCUGAAACAAAGAGAUUUGAGAGACCAACAGGACACCUGGAAAUAGUUUUCUACUCCUCUGCUUACUUAGAAGAGACAGUGAAGUAGAAAUGAAGCCUUCCUAUGUAUGUUUGUGUUCUGAUUUCUUUCUCUGUUUUUUGCUACACUUCAAGAAAUAUUAUGCAGUUAAUUUCCUUAACUUUCAGUAUUUUAUAAAAAUACUAAAAGGCAUUUGAUCUUAAACACAUUAAAUAAUGCAGUCC